rnacentral:lncRNA from 1 species
GUUUUAUUUUUAUUUUUUUACUUUUACUAUUUUUCUUUUAUUUUUAUUAUUUUCCUUUCCUUUUAUGUAUACUUUUAUUUUCCUUUUGUAUUGCUUUCUCCCUUUUGUUUUUGUUUUUUGUUUUUAUCCCGACGGUCUUGCACGCAAUUGACGAGAUCGAACGUCUCCCUCCCACACUGCGUGAAUAUUACCGGAACCAUGUG